UAUAAUAAAUAUAUAGUUAUUGUAAAAUAUCUGAAACCUUCCUCUUUCGUUAUUCUCUAGUAGUGAAAUAUGAACAGACAAAAAUCAGAUUCUGGACGCCAAUAUUUUUGUUACAAAAAACACAAUCACUUUAGUGAUUGUUGCUGACUAUCCUAAAACAAAUUAUUAUAGACUAUCAACCAGUAAAGUGAUUACAUAUACUCAUACCUAUGUUUUAAAACAGUAAGUUUCAAGUUCUAACUCACCUUACACAAAGCUGAGUUAUUACCUAUAAAAUCAAUUUAUUUAUUUUUAGUGGACAUAAAAAACUAAAUCACCAUUUGAUUUUUUUUUUCAACUAUUAAGCAUCCAUGAUUAAUCCCCAAAAAAUAAUUAAAUUUUACCAUCAAACACGAAUCUAACAAAUUAUAUUGUUUAAUACAUGAGUAUGAAUCUAAUUACUGUCGAAAAGGUGGUUCGAGAAUAGGAACGAGCAGGCUCAAUAUGAUUGAAAUUGAGCCUGUCAAUUCCAUCUUAAGUUGGAUUUUAAUUUCAAAAACACAAACUCCACUAAACAACACACAAUUAUUAAAAUAGUAUGUAGCACAUAAUUAUUCUCACAUAUUAAUAUCCUAAUAUCCCAAAUCAAUUUCAUCAAAACAUACUAUAUCCUUAACAUAUUUGAGUGAAUCAUGAUAAACUCUGUACCAUCCAGAUCAAGAACAGUAAAAAAAAACUGCAUAUAGCCAUAUACUAUCAACAAAUUUUGAAAAUUUAAAUUGUCUUUAAUAAAUUGGAUUCCAUCAAUUUAUAUUCCUUAAGAGCGAGCGAUUUAAAUACAUCAUAUUGAUUUUAAUCACUGCCACAUACAAGUUGUUUUAUGUACAAUAUUGCAAAACGAAAGACAAGAAGGACAAGUAUUACCUUUAAUUUCCAGUGCACAACAAGAAUCACCAGCACAAACGACAAUUAAUUUAGUACCUCACGAAGUCUAGAUCCCCAUCCAUGAAAGAACACCGAAAAUCACAAAUAAGAGAAAUUAAUUUAGGGAAUUAGGGCUUCUUUAAAAAAAUAAAAGGUUAAUAAACAAAUCAAAAAAUUGAGGACGCCCAUACCUGUUACAGCUUAAAAAUAAUGGAGUGGGCAAGAAAACACCAACAAUUUGGACCAGAGAGACGGAUGUCUAUAUGACGAAUAUUUUGGGGCGCCAAUUCAGAUCUAUCUGCUUGCGUGAGCGAUGCCAGAUGAUCGGAACAAAGAUUCAGCGUGGAGAGGAUUCGAAAUUGAUAAACGAUGUUCUUAAAACUGCUGCGUGUUUAAGGGAAGAUGGAGAGACGGCAGAGUUCUAAUACGCUAAAGGAUUCUAAUACGCGGCAGAGUUAAUUUUUUUUCCAAUUUUUUUAGCAAAUAGCGGCAAAUAUCUAAUAUAGCGUUUUUAUUUUUUAAUUACUAUUAAUUAAAAAUACUAAAUAUUUACCACAGCACUUAUGUUGGAAACGCUAUAAAUAAAUGCUAUUAAAGGAUACAUUUGUUGUAGUGGCUCCAUCCUACGACCCGCAGCGAGGAAACUCCCACGAGGAGCCAACUCGCUCGAUACUACAAAUCUGUUGCAAGGCAACUCCCACGUGCAACCACCUCGCUCGAUAAUAAGACUCGCAGCGAAAUAACUCCCACGAGGAGACAACUCGCUCAGAGCAACCUCAAUCCGCGCGCGCCUCAAUCGCGCGUCAUCUAAUGCUCCUACAACUUCGCUGCAAGACAACUCUCUCGAAGAGACAACUCGCAUGAAAUUCACUAUAUAAUCGCAAGCUCAAGUUAGCACAAUUACAACCCUAGAAGCACUUAGAGAUAUUAGGAGAAUCUAUAUAGCCUGGCCAGCUUGAUUACUCAAAUUUAUCUACUUGUUUUCGAUGGGUCAUUCAUUAAAACGUGGCCACGGUCCAAACAUACUUAAGACCCACGAGGUCUAACAAGGGGCACGACCCCCAUAAAAAAAAUCUUGAGAGUCUGAUCCCCUCCUCAAGUACAUCACGCACAAGGCUAUAUAUAAACACAUAUAAGCAACGCGUCAAAACAUUGACAAUGUCGAAAAAUAACAACUCCCACGAGGAGAAUACUAGCUCCGUGCUACUACAUUAUCGUGAGACAACUUCCACGAGGACAUAACUCGAUCAACUCUAUUACCCCAGAGACAACUCCCACGAGGAGAUUACUUGAUCUGUGCUACUACAUUAUCGUGAGACAACUCCCACGAGGAGAUAACUCGAUCAACUCUAUUACCCCAGAGACAACUCCCACGAGGAGAUUACUUGAUCUGUGCUACUACAUUAUCGUGAGACAACUCCCUCGAGGAGAUAACUCGAUCAACACUAUUACCCCACGACGAGACAACUCCCACGAGGAGAUAAUUCGCUACUACAUCGUCGCGGGACAAAACCGACGACUCAAUUAACUUACAUCGCGACAACUUGGUCGCGCUAUGCACCAAUGCGCAUUCACGCCCCUCCGACACACGCUCCAACGCGUUAUCGCACACCAUCGACCACUACAAUUUUUACUCUCGACACGAUAUGUCACCCAUUUCAACAUGGGCCCCACAUCGACUCGAGAGUGGGGGGCUUAAUGAUAUGCCUAAUUGGCCCAACCCAAUGGGCCUACAAAUUAUUUACCUACUGGGCCACGAGCCCAAUAUCGAAGACUACUAUCACCGAGGCCCAAUCACCUUCAAGCAAGGUUUGGGCCCGACAAUCUCAACUAAGCUAUAAAUACACAUUUGAACUCAUUCCAUAAGGUACGUCCAAUUAACUGAGCAAUACUACAAUACGUAUUAUCUGGACUAUUUCUAUGAUCAGCAUGUCUGACUUGAGCGUCGGAGGGGUUUCCGGCGGAUCAACCCCCGGCUUAGUUCAUGUGUUCUAUGAUCGCAGGUACCUCAGGAUCAUCAAGUUGUCAAGCUACUGAUCUGCUUUGCUCUCCCAGUUCAUUUUCUACACCACCCCAGGUGAUCUAAGUAAUUAGCAUCAUCAAUGUUAUUUGUCUAUAAAAUCUUUUGUUUAACAAAACUAACAUAUAUUUAUAAGGCGGGUUUGAAUGUAAUCACACUAAGCUAAUUACGUGUCACAAGCUCGAUCUAACGACUGUUGGCAUGUGGAUACGAAGUUGCGUCAACUGACACAAGCUCACUUGCUCCAACCGUUAUACGAUUCCUUGCAGGACUAAGUUAUCAUCUAUUUGUUUAAUAUAAAAUUGGUAAAUACUUUUUCAAGAUUAUUGAUUACAAAAUUGAGAAAUAGUCAAAAUAUGAUAUAAUCAUAUAAUAUAAUUAAUCCACUAUUAAGACUAUUUCACCGAUUUAAUCAUAGUCCCUGCAUGGCAUCUUGACGAGGCCAAACAUCUAAUUACGUACUGUGUCUAAUUACAAGUUAACAAAUAUCUAAUAAAAUAUGUAAUAAUAUAUAAUAAUUAAUAUGAACAAUCAAACUUUGAAAAUUUCCCCACCUGCCCCACCCCCACCCCCACCCCCACCAACCACCCCCAGGCCAAUCCAAUCCAAUCACCCUCAAACAUCAACUCAUGUUUUCACGUAAUUAACGUGUAAUUUAUCAUCAUAUAUUAUUUAUUUAAUUAAAUAACCAAAAAAAUUGUUUACCUUUUCUCAGUGCCAUGCAAAUUUAAUAUACAAAUUAAAAAAAAAAAACGUCUGCAUCAUUUGGUAAGCUGCUUUUCCAAAUACAUGCAUUGAACCUCUAUAUAUAUACACGCACAUUCACUCCCUUUUUCCUCACAACAAACAAACUCGAUAUAUAUCACUACAAAACAAAAUACACGAAAAAAUGGCAGCCUCCUCUUCUUCGUCUUCGUCCUCGUCUUAUUCGUCGGUGUUUGUGAUUGCGACUUUACUAAUUGUCUUAUUGAUGAAUGUGGGGCCCUCGUCGGCUCAACUGACAGAGGAUUACUACAAGAAGACAUGCCCGAAGGUGUUCGAUACCGUCGAGUCCGCCGUUAAGUCCGCGAUCAAAAAGGAGAAACGCAUGGGCGCCUCCCUCAUCCGACUGCACUUCCACGAUUGUUUUGUCCAAGUACGUAUUUUAUAUAUAUAACUAACUUCUCGUAAUUUUCAAGCUUCAUUAGAUGCGCUAAUCAUUAUUUUUCUUCUUCAUUUUUUUAGUAAUUAUGUAUUACCUUAAUAUGAUUAUUAAAAUUUGGACAGGGGUGUGACGCGUCAGUACUACUGGACGACACAUCAUCGUUCACCGGCGAGAAGACUGCGGCCCCCAACAAUAAUUCGAUAAGGGGUUUCAACGUUGUGGACGAUAUCAAGUCCAAGGUGGAGUCCGUGUGCCCCGGUGUCGUCUCAUGCGCCGAUAUUCUAGCCAUUGCCGCCCGCGAUUCUGUCUCCAUUGUGAGUUUUUAUAAAUUUUUGGGUAAAUUACAACCAUCCCCUAAGGUAUGGUCAAAUUACGAAAACCCCCUCUUGUUUGGGCAAUUACAACCACCCCUUAAUUAUAAAUCUUCUUACACGUCCACCCUUACAAUUUCAAAUUUAGUGGAAUCUUCGAGAUUAUAUGGAAUAUUAUCACUUUUGUACCCGUUUUAUCCCAUCCGAAUUCCACAUUUUGAAGCAAGAUGAUCAUAAUAUGUUUUUUGACUUGUACUUAUCCGAUUGUGGUGCAUCAAAAACUGUAUUUUUACACAAAACGAGUACAAACUAGAGCACAUUCCACGAUAUGUAGAUGAUUAUGUUGAAUUUGACACCAUAAGGGUGGAGGUGUAGGAAAAAAUCAUAAUUAAUUAUAAUGGUUGUAAUUUACCCUAAAUUUUAUAACUAGUACCGAUAUUUAAUUAUAAUCAUUGUAGCUAGUGCUCCAUUUGUAUGAAAGAAUCUGAAGACGGGGGCCCACGCCCCCCGUCGCCUCAUCUUGGCUCCGCCACUGAAUAUAUAAUAAUUAAAAUUAAUUAAUUGCAGCUCGGAGGGCCGGAAUGGGAUGUGAAAGUCGGAAGACGAGACUCGAAAACGGCGAGCCUUGCGGCUGCAAAUAGUGGUGUGAUUCCACCACCAACUUCAACUCUUAACAACCUUGUCAAUAGGUUCCAAGCUAGAGGACUCUCCACCAAGGACAUGGUUGCAUUAUCAGGUCCUCAUAUUUAUAUAUAUUUGCAUUCAACACCCCACAUUUUCUCUAAUUGCUAAAACACCCCAUAAUUCAAUUUUUUUAGCAAAUCACCCCCUAAAAACUCAUUAUCUAGGGUUUUUUUUAGCAAUUUGAUAUAACAUAGGGGCACUAAAUGCAAUAAACUCAUUUUUGAUUUUGUCUAAAAAAACAGGAGCACACACCAUUGGGCAGGCGAGAUGCAGCCUGUUCCGAACGCGUAUAUACAACGAGACGAACAUAGACGCUUCUUUCGCUCGUAAGAGACAAGAUAACUGCCCCCGCACGACCGGGUCGGGCGACAAUAACUUGGCCUCACUCGACGUCAAAAGCCCCACAUUCUUCGACAACGCUUACUACAAAAACCUAAUCAAGAAGAAGGGGUUGUUGCACUCCGAUCAGAUUCUGUACAACGGUGGAUCGACGGAUUCGCUUAUCGAAACGUACAGCAAGAAACCUGAGACGUUCAACGAUGAUUUCGUCACGGCUAUGAUCAAGAUGGGUGACAUCAGCCCCCUCACUGGAUCCAAUGGUGAGAUCAGAAAGAAUUGCAGGAGGGCCAAUUGAUUACACAAUCUGAAUUAUUAAUAAAAGUAUUUCGUUUUGAUUUUUUUAUUGGUUUUUUUUUUUUUUUUUUUUUUUUUUUUUGGUUUUUUGGGGGUUGGAAUCCAAUAAAUGGCAUGUUGGCCUUGGUUUUGUUUUUAUUUGUGUGUCAAUUGUAAUUGACUCUCUCUCUCAUUUUGUAUUUUGAAAUUAUACUUAUUUGUUAAUUUACUUGGUGUGUGACGUCAUAAAAUAAUGUUAUAUAUAUACUACAAAUAUAUAGAUAUUUAUAUACAAUAGAUUAAAUCAUUAUAAUACAGUCUAUGUAUUCAUUCAUUAAGACCUCCAUGCAAGAUGAAUUUUGAAUUUUAAUUAAAAUUCAAAUUAACAAUUGGCAUCGCUAAGUUACGGUCACUCCUGAGGUAUGGUCAAAUUACAAAAAAACCCAUAUGUUUGGAUAAUUACAAUUAGACCCCUCAACUAUGAAUCUUCUUACACGUUCACUCUUAUGGUGUUAAAUUCAACAUAAUCUUCUAGAUUCAGUGGAAUAUUCUCCAAUUUAUAGUCAUUUUGUGCAAAAAUUAAGUUUCUGAUGCACCACAAUCUAAUAUUUACAAACCCAUAGACAAAUCUUAUAAUUAUCUUAGCUUGUUUCAAAAUCAUGUAGAGCUCGAAUGAAACAAAACGGAUACAAACUGGAAAAUAUUCUACAUAACUAGAAGAUUCCACUAAAUUUGACACAAUAAUGGUGAACAUGUAAGAAAAUUCGUAGUUGAGGAUUGGGUAGUUAUAAUUACCAAAAAAUAAGGAUUAUUUUAUUUUAUUUUUUUCUCAUAAUUUGACCUUACCUCAGGGAUGAACGUAAUUUACGACAAGAAUGAAAUCAAGCAUAGAGCAGCCUAAUAAUACUUGAAUAGCAACCACUUGACCUGCCAUUAAUGCUUUGACCAUAGGAUGACGUGGAAACCGGUGACUCAGCACGUGAUUCAUGACCCUGCUGCUCUUCUAUCCUGGAAUCAUCAAACGAUGACGUCAUCCUCCUAGGAGAAGAACAACUCCGAACCCUACGUUGUUUCGGAGUAGUACUGCUACUACUCAGCGGAGACGACGAGCUCGUUGACCAGGAUGAAGAAGAUGUUGACCUUGAUGGUGGGGACUGGUUAUUGAGCUUGAGCUUGGGGAGAAGAACACUCGGUACGAGGUUGUUUUUUUUGCGUUGACUAUGAUUCUUUUUGGCGGAGACGGCGGCCGGGCUGGAAUGGAAUGAAGGUGGAGGUGUUAGAGGAGGGAUUAGUAACGGAGAUUCCGGCCGCCAGCUGGAUUUGUAUUUAGGUGUGCCUGGUUGAGAUUCCCACAUGAACGGAAUAUUCCCAACCGAACUUUUUGAUCUAUAGUAAACAUCAUCCGAUGAAGUGUCGUCGAUCAUGAUCGGAAAAUCACCCGAUACCCGUUUCGAAAAAGAGUACAGACUUUCUUCGCGGGACUUUUUUGUCCUAAUGGAGUUUAGUGCUGCUAAUACUUCUGUCUUCAUAAUCAUAUAUAUAUAAUCAUAUAUAUGUAUGUAUAUAUGCUUAUUAAUUACUACUUUCUGAAAAAAAGGGUUUUCUUGGUUAGGGUUGAGGAGUAUAUUUUGUUUUUGAUGUUGGGUGAUUUUUAUUGAUAAUUAGUUAAGGGCAAUUAAGAAGAGGGUUUUGGUGUGGUUAAUAUAUUGAGUUUUUGAAAGAGAAACCCUAACCAUUUGAGAAUGACUUCCAAACUCAAAUUUAGGGUGUUAGUUAUCUUAAUAAUAUCAUAUUUAUAGUAUUAUAUAUAUAUAUAUAUACAUAUAUUAAUAUAUAUAUUUAUAUAUAUAGUUGGAUCCAUAGAUGGGGGAUUUUAAUUAGUUGUUUAAUUAUUUCACAUGCAUGGACUGCCUUGAUUAGCCAAAUUAUAAAUUAUGAAGUCAAACUGAUUUAAGAAUAUAUAUAUAUAUAUAUAUAUAUAUAUAUAUAUAUAGCAUAAGUAUGUUGUAUAAAUGUACAUAGCGUGGUAAUAAUGAAUAACAUGUGUAAAUAUAUUCAAGGUGAAUAAGAAUUACGUUCUCGUAUGGUUUGCAAGCUGCUAUAUAUACGAGAGUGUAGGUUUACGAUCAGUGCACCUAUAUAUAUGAUUGGUUGUGAUCGAGUUUCUUUGUUACAUAGAAAAGAAAAAGGGUGAAUAAGAAAUCUCACCUUCUUUCACUAUUAAUUAAGAUGAUGUUAGUUCGAUUGGUUUAAUCGACGUUGACAAUACAUAUGUUGUUAAUUAACCUAAACAAACGAAUAAUUGAAAAAUAAAUAAAUAAAUGAAAUUAAUACUACUCAGAAACCACGUUCCAAAACAAGUAAUAGUAAUUAACCAAAGAGAAUAUGGCGCCCAAAUUUGAAGGAGGGAUCACGUGCUUACUCGCACUGUCACGUGCCUAUCUCUGAUCCGUAUUUAAUUUUAUUCAAUAAUUUAAUUACGAGUUAAUAUAAAAUUUUGGAUUUGCAUUUAAUGAAGGCAUAGUAAAAGUUGCCAAAAGGAUAUCGUUGAAUCUGUAAAGGGGUUUUUUUGAAAAUAAAUAAAAUUGGUGUACUACUUUGCAGUGAAACUUUAUCUUUUGUGGGGCUAAAUCAAAUAUUCACAUUUUACCAUCGAUAAUUGUCUUGUUUAGACUAAUGAUCGUCGCUAAAGUGGGUCCCACCAAAACAAGCUGGAAGAUUAUCGCUAAGGUAAUCACCGACUGUUCCGGUAAACUUCUUCAUCUGCUCUAGGAUCCGACUGAAUAAUGACGUGGCACCACCUGUGCCUCCUCUUUGCUCAAUCCCACGUGGCUUCUCGAACCCUUUUUCACAAAGAAAAAAAAUUAAAAUAAUAAAUUUUAAUUAAAAGCAUUAUUUUGAUAUAAAUUUUUGGGUAAAUUACGGAAAUACUCUUAAACUUAAACUUAAUUAUGAAAAAACCAUAUACAUCCAUAAUUACCAAAAUUCCCGCCACCCUGCAAGCGCGAUAUUUAUUUAUGCUACUUUUUAUAUUUAUUUAUGCUACUUUUUAAAUACAAAAAUUACACUUAGGGAGCCUUUACACGGAAUGUUUAUUUUUCUUAAGUAAUAUAUUCACAACCUUUUAGUAUUAACAUUAUCUCUGAUGAUAAUUUUUGUCUUUAAAAAAAUAGUUAAUAAUUGCCACGUCUGUAGGGGUAGAAUCGGCAUUUUCAGAGACUAAAAUACUCUAGAAUAAAAAAGAUUCCGUGAAAAAAUCACACGGUAAAGAAGCCGGUAUAAGACGAAAACAAACGUCGGGGGUCUGGUAAUUACUAAUUAUGGAUAGAUGGGGUGUUUUGGAUUUUGAUAAUUAUGGUGGGGUAUUAUUCAUAAUUUAGCAUAAGUUAAGGGAGAUUUUCAUAAUUUAGCUUAAUUUGAAUGAAAGAAUUGUUGGUUGAGAAAACACACCGGCUUCGAAAAGACACUGCUGAAGACUACUAACAUAAAGCUCAUCAUUAUCUGUGAAGAACUCUCCAUCAUCAGCUUGAAGCCUGCACCAUAAUAUAUAAGAUUACGAUUAAAUCACCCUUAAUUAUAUAUCAUUAAUUAAUUAAUUGUGGACAACACUUACAAAUUAUUCAUCUUUGAGUAAAAUCUAUAAUUAUUAUCAGAUUGUGAUCCUUGUGCACUCAAACCAGUCAUCAUACCUGCAAUUAAAUUAAAUUAUAUUCAAUUUAAAAAAAAAACAGAACUGAAGAAAAAACUCUUUAUAUUUAAAAAAAAAUAAUAAUAAAUAUAUAAUAAAUAAAUAAAAAGAACAGAACGAACCUUAGAAUCGGAACGAAGAAAUAGAUUGGCUAAUUUGGUGAACCUGUUCUCGAAUAUUCCCCUACAUAUAUAUAUUUAGUGGGGCUUGCCCUUGUCCUACUAGAGUUCUAUUUGAUUUUGGAUUUGCCUUUUUUAUAUUUUUGCCUAAUUAAACUUGAAAUAUUUAUGAUUAAAAUAUUAUUUGAUUUAUAUUAUGGUUAUGUAUAUAUAUAAAUAUUGACUCCAAAUAGGAAUAUAUUAAGGUUUUCUUUUUUUCUUUCCUUUUUUUGGAUUUAAAAGUUUUUUGUGGAAUAUUUAUAUUGGCAUAAUAUUUUAGUAACAGUAAAUAAUAAUACCAUAAAAUAAUAAUAAAGAAUUAAAAAAAGAAAGAAAGAUAGAUUACACAAGGAAAUUACAGUGCUCAUACAAACUUGUAUACAUGAUUUUCCUUCCACACACUAAUUAUACAUACAUUGGAGAGUUGGUCAAGUCAAUUACAUCAGGAAAGAAACUACUAGUUGGCCUUCUCUUCUUCUUGCAUGGCAAUGGUGUAAUUAUAUCUAUGAUCUCAACUUCAUCUUUGUCUGUAGCAACUAAGCGAGUUGCCGCCGCCGCCGAUUCUUUCUCAAGUGGCUCGUCCACCUCCGUAAUUAACUCGACCAACCUGUGAUUUUUUCGCGCAUUUCCAGCAAUACAGGAGCUAUUAUGUAACGAAAACGACGUUCUUACAGGAGGGGAUUCAUUAUUAUUAACAAUAAAGAACUGCCCUUUGUCUUCGUCUUCUGUAAUUUGAGGUGAAUUCUUCGGCCAAUCUUCUGCCCGUGUUUUUGCUGCGCAGCAUCCACUCGAUUCAAUUUCUCGGUGAAUGUAUUCUUCCUUACUACCUACACAGUUAGGGAAACCGUCAUUUUUUGUUGAUGAUUCUUCGUCGGUUGCUUCAGUAAUUGGAGGUGAAUUCUUCGGCCAUACUUCUGCCCGUGUUUUUCCUGAGCAGCAUCCACUCGAUUCAGUUUCUCGGUGAAUAUAUUCUUCAUUACUAUAGUAAUGGAAAUCGUCAUUUUUUCUGGAUGAUUCUUCUUCGGUCGAUUCAUGGGAAAGACCUUCACAUCCGUCAUCGUCAUCAUCGUUUACGAUUGGACAAUCGUUGGCAAUAUUGUAACAGGGCAAAUCAUCCAUGGGAGAGAUUUUUGUCCUCAUCUGCUCGGGCAAUGCAGGGCAGCCCGAGGUGUGCGUUUGGUAUUUAGUCGAGAACAGAUUCACCGUCAGGUUCAAACUGACAGAGACGAAAACGAAGCCGUUAGUACACGCUACCGAAAACAAAAACGAAAAAAACCCGAAUUCAGAAUUAUCUUAAGAACACCUUUGCCAGGGUGGAAGAGUGAGCAUUGUGUAGGCCAAUUUGAUCUUGUUAGCAAUUCCAGAGAGGGAUUUGAAAUUUACAGCUGCCUUUCGUACUGCUAGCGAUUCGACCGGGUGUUGCCACGCCCACUCGAACUGGAAUUAAUUUAAUUUUGAACAUUUAUCAAACACUAGCAAAAUUUCAUCAUUAAAUCAAUUUUACUUGUUUCUUUCUAAUAAUUCGAAAUAUCAAUAAUAAUAUAAUUCACCGACACGAGCAGCUGAAAAAUUAGGUCUAGAAAAAAAUUAAUUAAUUUUUUUGAAUGAAGAUAAAGAAGCACCUGAAGAGCGGCGACGUUAGUAGGGAAGCCGUGGAUGCACAGCACCAUUUCCCAUGGGCGCUUCUUCUUCGUCCGCCACGCGCCGCUCCCGAUCUCGCCGUUGUGCUGCCGUAUUCUCCGCCGUGGAUUCACUGUAAAUCUGUAAAACGAAAAAAAAAGAAGAAAUUUUAUACAUCAGUUAUCAAUUAUCAAUAUGAAUCAGGAGUGAAAUCCAGAAUGGAAUCGAACCCGAUGUAGGUGUGGCCUUUGAAUCUGGGGCAGACUGAAGUGAGGAGAUAGCACGCGAAGAAUCCAGCACCUUUUCCAUCAUCUCCUUCUUCCACUUCUCCACCGUUUUCAUGUAUGGCUUCUUCUUCAUUCUCUUUUCUCCCCUUCCUUUUCCCCAUCUCUCUCUCUCUCUCUCUCUCUCUCUCUCUGUUCUGUCUGAUAGAAUUGGAUAAUGGAUACCCCAAUAUCGAUUGCAGAAAUUCGACCGUUGCAACACACGGGUCUCGUCUUUUUUAUUGUAUGGAAUGGGCUAAAAUAUUUAUAUUUCUAGGUUCAGCUUUCAUUUUUGGGCCGAAUUUAUGGACCGGGCCCACCUUCAAUUUAAUCCUUGAUAUUUGGAAGUUUGAAAUUAUUUUUAUUAUUUUAAUUUCCCUUUUUUUGCGAGGAAAAUAAAUCAUUUUAAUUUCCAUAAAGCACCACUAUUAUUAUUUCACAAAUAUUAUAUAAGAGAUUAUUUCUUUAAAGCAUUAUUUUUUUAUGCGAGGUGCUAAAUACCAUCCAAUGUUAUUUUUUUACUAAAUUCUGUUAAAAAUAAAUUUACUCUUGAUCAUGACGUAAUUUUUUUGUUUUUUUUUUUGUUUUUGGUUGUCUGCAAGAGGUCGAGUAGUUGGUGGAAAGAGAAUGCCAAAUUACCCGAACUUGAAUUUCCUUGCCACUAGUAUCAGAUUUUUGCAAGGGGGGAGUGCUAUCUAUGGCAGUGAUGAACGAUGACUGAUGACGAGGGGGACGUUUCAAAGCGUGAUGGGUUCAUAGUCGUUUAUCAAACGAUACGAAAUAAAAAAAUAAAAAUAAAAAAUUAAAAAAAAUUGUGUCGUAGUCUACUAUAUCAUAUCAUAACUUAACAUUAACUGAAGUAACGUUCACCAUUGGAGUCAAGAUGAUAAACAAUCACAAACACCCAUCACAUCGUUAAAAUAAGUCGUGUACGGAAAAAAACGACCCCGUAAACUAAAAUAAGGAAUGACAUAUCUUCUAUUAUAAGUGCAAUUAUAACACCAGAAGCAAGACAAAUUGCAGACCAGCGUUGUUUAGCAAAUCGGAAAAACGUCCAUAUGUCAAAAGCCCGGGUCAGAAACAUGCAUUGCUAGAAUUGCGUGUAAAAAAGAACGAAAAUAAUAUGCUUCUUUUCAACCAUAAAUAACAACUUCCAACAGCCCUCUAUUCUGUGUGCUCAUCGGAAAAAACCAAAUUUCAAAGAAGCAGAUGGAAACAAAUAUACUAUUCGUUUCGACUAGGAGAAGGAGUCGGAAAGCUAGGGCAUGGGAAUGACAAGAGUUAAGUGGCAAAAAUGAUACCAAGAAAGUUGAAGUAAUCGAUCCCCCACUUCACAUAACCACAACAACGCAAAGUAUGUUGAUAUACCUUUAAAUAAAGCUGAAACGUAUUUCAAACGUAAAAUUAGUUCAUAACAAGCAUAUCCUUCAAAAUCACAGAUUCUUUGGUAUAAUACCGCUCUCGGGCCCUAACUAAUGUAUGAAGAAAUUUUGCUGGACGACGUAUAAAAACUUAUCACAAUUUAUAACAGGUGAGCUAACAUUCACAAUUUAUUCUCUGCUCGACAAUUCAUUGACUACAAUAUAUUCUUCAAGACAAUCCAUGCCUAGACAAACGCAAUUUCCAAACGAUCGUAGUUAAAAGACUUCAAUAUCAGAUUAAGUCAGAUGUUCGUUACUUUUUGAAGAAUGGAUGUGAAUAACGAGCACAUCAAAAAAGAGUCCGAGUCUCUUCUCUUAACAAAAUGGAUAAAAAAAAAAGGUGAUCUCCGAGAAGAUAACAAAUUUAAUACGCACAUAGUAAAACAAUAUAACAAGUAAAACCCCGCUUAACAAAAAGUCGACAAAUGUAUUCUAUAUAUUCGAGUAUAAUGUCAAACUGACGACAGAAAAAAGAGCGAAAAGGGGAUAUAAAAUUGUAUGAUCUUCAUCUAUACAAGCAAUCGUUUCAUAACAACUCACAAGAAGUACGGCAACACAAUUUUCAUUCUUGCUUUUUCGAAGCACGUAUGUAAAAACUCUACAACCGAGAUUAUUCAAGAAAAAAUCACCAUAACAGAAAAAGAACUGUCGGACACGACGUAUUACUGACCGAAUUAAUCGGCAGAGAGCUUCUCCGUCGAAGAGGAUGAAGAAGCUAAGUUCCUCCAUAGAUAUUUGCCGCUUGCCAUGUCAACAAAUGUCCAAAACCCCUUCCCCACGGCCGCGCAAACCUAAAAUCACAUUAUGAAAUUCAAUUUUUUUUCCCCCUCAAUACAGAAUUGUUCAUACAAGGAAAAUAAAAUUCACUCAGGGCUCAAUUUCAACAAAUUAUGGAAGAACAAUUAAAAAACAAAUUUCACAAAUCAUCAAUUGAUCUGUAAUUGCAUGUACACUACAUAAUUUCGCUUCAUUAUCGACUUUCGAAAAACAAAUUUUCAACCUCAGCCAUUUUUUUACUUCAAAAUUGAAAAUUGAGGAAGAAUAAAAAAAAGGAAUUAAGACGAAUAAAAUACCUUGGAAGACAUGGGAGCGGCGCCGGUGGAUUCAGCUUCUUCGGCGACGUCGACGCCGUCGUCGUUCAGGGGGUCCGGCGAAGAGUUGAGGUUUCUAAGAACGAAGAAUCCGGCGAGGGUAGCAGAGAGAAAGAUGAGAAUUAUUCUGAGCGGACACAUCUCCGAGUUUCUCUCUCUUGAUUUUCUAGAGAGAGAAAAAAAAAUUACUUGAUUAUUGGGAGGAGAGAAGAAUAUAAUGGUAUUUAUUAUUAGUGUUAAUGGGAGUUGAUUUAAUUCUAGUAUAUUUCUACUAUUAUUAUUAUUAUUAGGUCAUGUUACUCACAAUUAUUGAUCGAUUUUAUAAAUACCAAUGUCAAUUUUUUAAAAUAAUAAUCCUUGAAUGGGUUUGGUCAAUCAAUUCACCUAAUCCUUGACCCUAUGCGCGUAAAGAAUAGGGCAAAUUCAGAAUCUCUUAAUCCUAAUUAAUUCAGGAAUAGGAGUAUGUAAUUAGUUUAGGAAUAGGGAUUAAUUGGAUUACACUUAACUAAAUUGAUAUAAAGCUCUUCAAAUUAACGUUAAUUUUAGUGAAAAUCAGCUAAUUUCAGUGAUAUGUAAGCUACCUAUAUUGACUUUAUUGACAAUAUAGACUUUUAAUUAUACUACAUUGAUGAAUAUCUUGUUAAAUUGGCGUUAACUUUACUACACUGAUUGUAUAACUAUUUUUUUUCGAAACACAUGCACCCAAAGAGAUUUGAAUUUCCGACCUCUCAUUAAGCCAAAGCUUAAUUGGUAUGAAAAAAAGCGACUGGAAUAAGUUUUUAAAAGUUACAAUACUGAUUUUUCAAGUUACCAAAUUAACCGACCCAUUAUUUUCUUGAUACGAUUUAACACUCAAAUCUCGAAAAAUAUAGAAGUGGUACAUUGUUUCAUCGGCAGUGUAAUUGAAUUUUAAAUCGAAGGAUUAUAAGUUACAUAGUGACUUAUAAGAUACUACACCUGGUAAAAUACAUCAUUGAUUUUCAACUAUAGAUCUACAGUACAUAGUGUAUUUCACCAGAUGUAGGUUCUACAAAACUAGUCGCAUAAUAUAUUAUUGAAAAAACAAUAGACAUAAGAUCACUAUCUUAAAUAGUAAAAAUAAAAUAAAAUAAAAUAAAAAAUUAAUUAUUGAAAUUUGGGAUUGUUUCAAACAUUAGUAAAAAGUAAGCACCUAUAGAAAUGGGUAAAUACGUGUAUGCAACAAACAAAUUUUUUAAACUCCGAUGCUUGCAAAAGCAGCAAAGCAGCCAUGACAGAUAUAGUUGGUGGGAUUCCAUUAUUGAAAAAGUCAAAUAAUAAAUAAAUAAAAGAAAAAUUCAAUAUAGUUGAAUGAUAAUUAAUUCAAGUUACUAGAAACACGUUUUUAUUCCAUGCGAAAAGUCCACAUUUUGUAACUAAAGAUAAGGUUGUGUGCAUAUUAGUUGGAAUGGUGACAAAUUUGCCCAUUUCCUCUUAAGAACUAGUCAAGAUGAGAAAAAGUCUAUUGAACAUUAAUUUAUUGAAGGAAUCUGCUUACACUCUCGUAUUAACAUCUUGUAAAUUAUAUGAGAGACGUAAAUCACACUAGGCUGACAAAUCGCAACAAGCUCAACAUAACUAUCCAAAGGGAUUUGAAAAUUCACUUACUCCAACUGCUAGGUUGCGGGACUGUAUCGAACAUUAUUUGGUGAAUAAUGUAAUAACCCAAUUUGACCUAAUUACUGCAUAAAGAAAGGAAUAAAACAUUAUUAUCACUUUAUCUUUUUAAGAAUGUCAUAAUUGUUUGAAAAUUAUGGUUAUUCUCUAAUUUUGUUUCUUUUAUUCAGUGUGCAAUAAUAAAUAGCUUUAGCUGAAAUUCAGUAUUAGAAUGGAUAUAUCUUUAAUUCUUUAAAUUAAAGGCUGUUUAAUUAUCAUUUAUGAAUGGGGUCUUGAUAAUCUUCAUUCAUUAUCAUUCCCAAAAUAAUUUUUUUUAAUUGAUUAUAUUCUCCUUGCAUUUGCGAUUAUUAAAAUCGUCAAACAGCUUUUAAUUCUAAUGAAGGAUAUAAAUGAACUACACAAACCAAUCAAAACAAAUUCGAACACAGCUUUUUCGGGCUAAAAAAACCGGAACAAGUGCUCGACUUAUAGCUCAACUGUUCAACAUACGUGUUUCGCAAACACAUUAGUACACGUUUCUGUUUUGCAAGUCGGUUUCUCUUACAAGAUUAGUUCAGAACAAAUUAAUUAUAAUUUUUUUCGCUAAUUUAAAACUAAUCCAGCAUUUGCAUGCAUGCAUACCUUUGUCAAGAAACGACGCAUUCUAGCGCCUCACUAACCGAGCAACAUUAGAAAGCACAGUCCUCAAGCUCCUGAUACCGGCCCCUGUUUUCGAGCUUACCAUCAUCUGCGGUUUAAAAAAUAGGCUUAUUUGUCAUUUCGAUUUGUCAGAAUAUAAAUUUUGAAAAGCCAGAAUAUCCACUUAACCUAAAAUAGAGACGAAUUAUCUUCUAACAUGAUUCGUUUAUGUGUCAACGAAUGCCAAGUAAACAAAAAUCAGUUAUCGAUGUGUCUCCGUCUUACCAGGGGUUGCACUGCAGACUUCUUUGCUUUGAGAUUCUGUAAAAAUCGAAGAAAUUGGUCCAGGUCAAAAAAAGAGAAGAGUGUUGAUUAAAUAUAAUUUCGAACAGGCUUGCAACACUUACCUCUUCAAUUUGCAUUGCUCGUCGAGCCACGUCGAUUGGGAAAACAGAAUCUGUUUUUGUUAAAACUAUUUGGUACUUGGUUUCAGACCUGCCACCCACAAUCAAAAUGCAGUGGAUAAAUAUUAGCAAUUUUAAAAUUGUAUUUUCCGGUUAGUAUAGGGGGGUUGAAUGCGACAGUUGCUAUAGUACAGGGGUGGGAAAUUGUAUUUUACCCUAAAUACAAUCACGUACAAUAAGAAGCAGUAGCAACAAAAAAACAUAUAGAUGCCGAUAUUGUAAAUUAACACGUAUGUACCUUUCCAUCAAAUCAAUAAGUUCGUGGUCCCUCGGUUUCAAACCCCACUUUGUGUCUACGAGAAGACACACUCGUUUUAGACCAACACGUGUGCUGACGUACUCUUUCACCUGCAAAGUAUGCGUGAAUCGAGGCAUGAAUAAACCCGCUAUUCCUGCCCUAAAGCAAGGGAAGAUAUAUAUAUAUAUAUAUAUAUAUAUAUAUAUAUAUAUAUAUAUAUAUAUAUAUAUAUAUAUAUAUAUAUAUAUAUAUAUAUAUAUAUAUAUAUAUAUAUAUAUAUAUAUAUAUAUAUAUAUAUAUAUAUAUAUAUAUAUAUAUAUAUAUAUAUAUAAGCGAAACCGUAACCCGGCAAAUCCACUAAACAUAGCUUUGAUCCGAGCUUAAAAAAAUUGAUCGUCUGCAAAAAGGAUUGUUAAAUUAUUGUCAGUACGCAUGUCCAAUAUAUUUCGAAUUCGUCUGCAGCAAAAUAUUCAGCACCUGUGUGAGGCCUGGCUUAUCUGAUGUCCGUACAACACCCCACUGUCUGGUUAGUGCAUUAAGCAACGACGACUUUCCCACAUUUGACCGUCCUAACAAAUAAAAUUGAAAUCCAACAUAAAUAUUUAUAUUAUAAAUAAAGCCAGACUACUUUUUUUCCUAGAAGGAUUUUGAUAUAACAAAUUCCAAUUUGCCAAUUUGCCAAUUUAAAAACAUUGCGCGAGGAAAAAAAACAUAAAAACUCAAUUUGCCAAUUUAGUAUCUUCUUAUUUCGACAUUAUAGAAUCUUACGAGUUUACAAAAACCUGGAAUCAUAUAACAAUAUCUUAAAAGCCAAACUUCACUGGGGAAAAGGAUAAACUACUUCUUAAACUGACUGUAUUAAUCAACUUACCUGCAAAUGCAAUCUCUGAAAGAUCGGGAGGGGGAAACGACGAGGAAACCUUUGCAGCAGCAAAGAAUUCUAAUUUAUUUCUAAAUUCCUGUAACAUAAACAGAACGGACGUUUAUAAGUAGAAACAAAAGGUUAUUAUGUAAUAAAUCGAUCUCAGACUCAAAUACUACAGUAGUAGAGUGUUUUACAAUUGAUAAGUACGUACUGGUACUUCAACCCGUUCCCUUUCGGGACCUGUUGACGAAGGAAUGUUGUCUAAAGGAGCAGGAAGCUCGAUGUUGUAGCCAGCCCUCCUAAACUCAAUGUCUCGUCUACGUCCUAAUAACUGAGAAAAAAGAAUAUGUAAAGUUCGUAAGCAUUGUGACCAAAAAUAUUUGAAAUACGGAGUUAUUUAGAGUAUAUAAUAUAUGCUUGCCGAGCACGGAUUUUACAUUGUCUUCUACAAAGGAAAGGAUCGAGGAGCUAGGUUGUAUGGCACGGAAUUGCGCAUUCUUCGACAUUUCAACACCAGUUUUAUCUGGCACAUCGAUCUUUUCUUGACUAUUACCUGGAUGAUGAAAAAAUAAAGCAAAUUAAGAUAAAUACCAAUCAACGCGUUCCUAGAUUAUUUUGGAGUAAUAACAAACGAGGUUACAAAAAACAUGUGUGCGUUUUCGACAUGAAUAAUUGCUUUGGCAUAACAGCUUUGGUUUCAUUCUUAGUUGUGGUGGUAAUGCAGCUUUACAAUGUAAUUGCAAGCCAAAACUCAUGUUAGCCCCAUUUUCAUGAGGUCGUUCACCGAAGAAGAAAACACAAUAGUAGCACUACUACAUAUAGCAUAAUAACAAUGGAUAUAAUAUAGAAAUUCGAAAUCCAGUAAACGAAAAUGUACGGAGAUAAUAUGCAAAACGGAUGGAGGAUCAGUACCCAUCAUAUAGCAUAAUAGCAAGAACAGAAUAUCUCAAAAUCGUAAAAUGAAACAAACACGGAUAUAUCAACAUCAGAACAGAAAAGUACACUAACCAUUAAUAUCAAUUUCAUCGUCAAUUCUCUUGUUGGAUAUAUCACGAGGGUCUAUUCGGAUAACUCGUUUCGUCUUCAUCCGCAGUUCCUCCGUCGAAUCUGAAUUAGCACCCGAGCCUUUCCUAGACGCAUCGUUUUUCUUACGAGGUUUCUCAACAGAACCAACCGAAUCUUUUCUCCGGUUCACAUACGUUUUAGUUGCCAAUAACGGAGCUCUCCUCUUAUCGCCUGUUUUCGACACCCCAUUUUCUAACCCGUUCUCUCGAACACGUCUAGAUUUCCCAUCGCCUAAAUCACUACUUCCCCUGAAUUUAUCACUACUCCCUCUCAACAAUCUGUCUCUGCUAGAAUCCUUAAAUUCACGACGGUCGUUGUCCCCCCUCGAGAGCUUCUUGCGUUUAUCGACAAACGACCCGACAGUAGUGUUUCUUGAUUUAGAACUGGAGUUUCGAUCACUACCAUCAAAUCUUUUACCCCCCUCAACCACCACACUGGGAUUAUCAUUAUCAGCAUAGACUCUCUUCCGUUUAUUAUUACCGGAAGAGUUGCCAUCAAUAACAGUUCCAAAACCUUCAUUUCGACUCUUCGCUUUGAAAUCCCUUUUCCCCUCCUUCGUACCCGAUUUCUCAUCACCGUUUCGCACUUCAUUUCGACUCUUUGUUUCGAAAUCAAUUUUCCCCUUGGUACGUGUUUCACCCGAUUUCUCAUCACCGCUCCGCAAUUUUUUACCCCCUUUCUUCUUCUUGUUGGAAUCUAGGGUCGUAUCAACAUCGAUCGACACUUUCAAAACCCCUGUAGCAGCUCUCAUUUUCCGAUGAGCUUUAUCAACGCCGGUGUUUCCCACCGCAACUCUCACUUUUCUACCAACUCUAGUACCACCGCUAUUACUCGACCUCAUUUUUUCAAACGCCAUUUCUCAGAAAUUCGCUCGGUAAAUACCAAUAAAAACAGCAAAUGGUGGAAAACGGAGCCAAUAAACAGCAAAUAUGGAAAUCAGAGCUGAUAAGGAAUCCCACACACUACGUGUUCCACAGAAAGAAAUAAUUCAGAGAUAAACAUGAUUACAGAGCUCGGGAAAUCAAGGAAUCGAAGUGGAAUACCUCAAUUAGAAUGACAGUGGUACUGUGUAAAAGAUUUAGAGCAAGGGUUUAGCCAAAUUAUUUCUGAUUUUUUUUGGGCGAAAAAUGAAGAAUUAACUAACGUAGGCGGAAAAAGAUGAUAGCUUUGAAUUGGGUACAUGGGCCAAGCCUAGGGUCUUGUUUAGGCCCAACCUAUACUAUGCGGGCUGGCCCGGAUUGGACGGGCCCUAAAAACUUGUUCUAAAUAGUGUUCUAAACAUCGGCUGAGGCGGCCGAUUAAUCAGUCUCCGAGACGGAGGCGGUCAAAAACCUUUACGAUUUUAGGGUAAAUGUUUGAAAAAUUGGUUUUUUGUCUGUGAGGCGGUUUUUGGCAGUCAAACCUUUAUGGCGGGUCAAACUUCGGUGGCAAAAAUCGUUUUUUUUUUUUUUUAUAAUUCAAAAUAAAAUUUGGGAUUUUAAUAAAUAAAAUAUGAUUUUAUGUUUUAUUUUGUUUAUGUUAAUUGUUAUUGUUAAAAAAACUAAUGAUGUAUGCUAGGAAUGUUCAAGAAUAAAUGUAAAACAUUGUCUUUUUAUUUAUAUUUUAUAAGGAUAUUUAUGUAUUAUGAUCUUAUUAUUAUUAAACUUUUAUUAUAUUAUCAGGAUAUAUACAUGAUGGAGAUAUAACUAUGUUUAAAUAUCUUUUUAUAUAUGUUUUGAGUAUUUAUAAAUAAGGGUAAAUUACACCCACACCCCUGAGGUAUGCUUAAAUAACUUUAAGGUACUUGUGGUAUCGAUAAUUACACUCAUCCCCUUGAAACGUAGUUAUAAACUCUAAUGGGAUAAUGCAUUGGAUACGUUAUUACGAUAGAGUUCUAACGGACUAUUGGUUUCAGGAAGUGGUGGAGACAACAAAGAGUUAUGAGUGAUUUAAGAAAUAUUGGGGGAGCCAUGUCACCUCAUAACUCCCCAUAACUCUAUGUUAUCUCCACCACUAGCUAAAAUUAAUAGUCCAUUAGAACCCUAUCGGAAUAAUGUAUCCAAUGCAUUAUCCCGUUAGAGUUUCUAACUAUGUUUCAAGGGGUGAAUGUAAUUAUCGAUACCAUAGAGACCUUAAAAUUAUUUAAGCAUACCUCAGGGGUGUGGGUGUAAUUUACCCUAUAAAUAAUAUAUAGAAAUAUAUUAUAUUAAAUUUUAAAAACAGAUUUAUCACCGAUUAAUCACCGCCGCAUCGAUUAAUCAUGAGUCGGUCCCUAACCGCCUCCGACCCAAUUACCACUUUUUACAACAUUGGUUAUAAUAUGACCCAUUCAUUCAAAAAAUUAGGGUUGAUACCGUCUUAGGUCGAUCGAUUAACAGCCUGAAAAUUGCCCCAUCCGAUAAAUCACAUUUGCUCAAAUUUGAAAACCGUGGUUGAUCCAACAUUUGUGGGUCAGUUGAUGGUUGUCAACCGAAGUUUUGGUAUGGAUUGGUUGAUGGUUAAUGCCCAUCACCUAUUUCACUUUAAAAAAAAAAUCAGAUUUUGGAGUAAAAUUAUACACAUUAUGCGUAUUGUCACUACACAAUCAUCAUUUAUCACUUCAAUAUAUUAUUAGCAAUUUGACAAAAACACUAUAAUUAAGAAAUUUCAAUGUAAUUAAGAAAACCACGCCCUUUAUUUUAUAUUUUUUAAUAAUAUAGUUGUUUGACCGGACUUUUGAAAUAUUAGAAACCACCAACGAACCAUUAUAGACACUUUGGUCGAAAUCUUCGACCAUCAAAUGCGUCUGUUAAAAAAUUAUUAUUCCCUACCAAAAAUAACUAAACACAAAUAAACCCACCCCCUACGCCUAUUAAUACUCCAAGCCAAACAUUAAUUAAAGACUUAUCCUCUUUUCAGUUUGAAAUAUAAUUUAUUUAUUUAUUUCAUUCUUUCCCUCCAAUUUUCAUUGCUUAUUAUUAAUUAUAAUUUAUAAAUAUAAAUACUUCAAAAUCUCCUCGUGGUGAGGUCUAUUGAUUGAUAGUUGGGUAAAUCGAAGAGGCUAGGGCUAAGCCGGCAGCCCCCAAUUACUGCCGGCCAUGGCUUUCUCAUCGGAAAAUGCUCUGUUCAACAAAUACGAGAUCGGAAAACUUCUCGGCAGCGGCGCGUUCGCGAAGGUGUACCACGCGAGAGACAUGGCCACCGGCCAAAGCGUCGCCAUCAAAGUAAUCCAGAAAACCAGGCUGAACAACGACGCCAACCUCAUCGCCGCCAUCAAGCGCGAGGUCUCAAUCAUGAGCCGGCUGCGCCACCCGCACAUCGUCAAGAUCUACGAGGUCCUCGCCACCAGGACUAAGAUCUACAUCGUCCUCGAAUUCGUCAGGGGCGGGGAGCUCUUCGCGAAGGUUUCCAAGGGCCGGUUCGGCGAGUCCGCCUGCCGGAAGUACUUUCAGCAGCUCAUCUCCGCCGUCAGCUACUGCCACUCCCGUGGCAUCUACCACCGGGAUCUGAAGCCGGAGAAUCUCCUCCUCGACGAGAACGGCGACCUCAAGGUUUCCGAUUUCGGCCUCAGCGCGGUGCUCACGGAUCAGGUCCAGCCCGACGGGCUGCUGCACACGCUCUGCGGCACGCCGGCGUACGUGGCGCCGGAGAUUCUCACUAAGAGAGGCUACGACGGCGCGAAGAUCGACGUCUGGUCGUGCGGCGUCAUCCUAUUCGUCCUCUCCGCCGGGUAUUUGCCCUUCAGCGACACCAAUUUGAUGAACAUGUACAAAAAAAUCUACAAGGGGGAAUUCCGGUGCCCUAAUUGGAUGUCCUCCGGUCUGAAGCGGUUUUUGUCUCGUCUUCUCGAUACGAACCCCAGCACCAGAAUCACCAUUGAUGAAAUCAAGCGUGAUCCCUGGUUCAGAAAGAGCUACAGAGAGAUCGAUUCAUUCCAUGAAAACGAAGAAUCGAAGGAGAAGAAAGUACUGCUGGGUCUAAACGCUUUCGACAUCAUCUCUUUCUCUUCGGGUUUGGAUCUAUCCGGAUUGUUCGAUCGGAGUGUCAAGGAGCUGGAGGAUGUCGAGAGGCUGACGGUGGAGGAGUCGCCGGAGAGAGUUAUUGAGAAGGUGGAGGAGGUGGUGAAGGCGGCGGUGGAAGGGGGUGUGGCGUUGAAGAGGAGGAGGAAGAAGGAAUGCGGGGUGGAGCUUGAGGGGCAGAAUGGUAAAUUCAUUGUGAUGGUGGAGGUUUACAGGUUGACCGACACGCUGGCGGUUGUGGAGGUGAAGAGGAAGGCUGGGGAAGCAAAUUUGUUCAGCAGUUUAUGGAAGGAACAAAUUAGGCCGGUGAUUUCGCGGCAACCGGAUCUGCUGGUUGCCGGUAACUAGGUUGUUGAUAAUUGCAGGUUUUUUGGUAAAAUGUAAAAAAAAGGAAUAUAGGAAUAAAGGAGCAGGAAAAUAAUUAAUUAAUUAAUGCAAGCCCAAUUUAAUUGAAAAUAAUUAAAUUUAGCUUGUUUGUCGAAAAUGAAAUGUAUAUAUAUACAUACAGAGGAAAAAGGAUUGUAAAAAUAGGAGCGCGUGAAAUAAAAUCACCUCUAGGGGAUUAUUUUUCUUGUCUGUAAUGUAAUGAUGCUUUUACAAUUUAUUGUUUGCAUCUUUAAUUUUAAUUCUCAAAAAUAAAAUAAAAAUAAUAAUAAAUAAAUAAUAAUUCGGAUCACGAAUAUUUAGUACUUCGGCCCAGUUAACUCAUAUAUUAAUUCAUAUACAAUGGGCCGAGCUUAUUUAAGAAGCCCAAUUCAGUUGUGGUAUUAAUUCCAACAUAGGAGGAAUUCCAAUUUCCGCUAUUAAGAUCUGAAAUUUUUCAAUUUUGAAACAAUAUUUUUCAAUCUGAAUUCCGAAUUCCAAUUUUAUUUUUGAAAAUUAUUUGGAUUGGAAUUCGAAUAUAUAUGAGAUUUCGAUUUCCGAUCCGAUUUUAAGUUCCGUAAAUAAUCAGAAAACUCCGAUUUUUUUCCUCCGAAUAUUACACUUAAAAUACCGAUGUAUUACGUAUUUUAUAUUUCAUCUCUAGCUUUCCUAACAAUUAUUUGAAUCUCCUCUAAAAGUAAUCAAAAAAAAAAAAAUUUAUUUAAAGAUAUUUCACAAAAAAACAAAUUAAAACUUGUUUAAAAAUCCACAAAACUUUAUAUAUGUAGGGCUAAUAAUACUGUUAUAUCAUAUGAUAUGAUAGGUCAAAUAAAAUAAAACCAGGGUAGCCUUAUCAUCCUCUAAACAGAUUCUAGAUAGCUUCUAUGAAAACUAUAUCAUCCUAUUUUGGAUCAAAUAAUUAAUAGCUCCAAAUUCCUAUGUUCAUUUUCCAUUAAAAUGUAACACUGUAAAUAAUAUAAAUAUAUUAUAUAUUAUAUUAAGGCACCUGAGAGUGUACGUAUACUUAUAUAUAUGCAGUGAUAGCAAUUGAUGAAGGCUGCAAAACCAUGGUCCUUGCAACCUCAAAACGGGACCCCCCUUUUCUCUUUUAUCAUUUAUGUAUCAUAUAAUAAAUACAAUUUAUUUACUUAUUUAUUUAUUUAUUUUUCGUCAGAAUCGUAUGAACUUAAUGGUUUAAUACAUACUUAGGUGGUGUUUGUAAAAGCUUUUACAAAUAGAUUAUGAGUUUUUUUUAUGCAUAUAAUCUGUUUUUAGGUGUUAGGAGAACAAAUUUUUGUUUUUGCUUCUCAUAAAUAAGCUGUUUUAUAAUCUAUAAUUUUAAAAACACCUGUAUUGAUUUUCCAACUAAUUAUUUGCAAACACCUCAAUAUUUAGAAUCAAACACUUCGAUCGGAUGUGUUUGCAAAAGCUUUUACAAACAAAUUUAAGUUGAUUUUUGAGCAAAUUUGCAAACGCCCCCAACUUCUAGAUAUAAAAACUGACUUAAUUAUUCACAAUCUUUAACUUCUGAUUUUAAAUAAUUUUUUUUACAAACACCACCCUAGUUCGUACCACUACAAGUCUAGUUAGCGGUUCGAAUUAAACUCCCGACCAUCCACCAAAUUUUCACUAUAGAAAAUAUUCCAAUAUACACAACUAACACUUGGGCUUAUAAAUAUUAAAUUUCCCCAUGUACAUAUAUAUCACCAAUUAUAUACAUAUAUCAUUGACCAAGUUACAGUUUGAUGCAUUGCACAACUUUGAAGGUUGAAACACAUUACAAAUUGUGUAAAGUAAGAUUGAAUGAGGCAUUAUAUUGAAUUUAUUUUAUUUAUUUAAGUACACUGCACAAAAAGUUAUGUAUGUAUGAUCAAUGUGUGUAUAGUAAGGUUACAAUUGUUGGUUUUACUGUUUUGUCCGCAUCUUUUUGCCUUGUGGAAUCUAUUAAAGUGAUGAUGGAUUGGAAAGGGGGCAAAUGGCCUUCUCAUACAUUAACCCUCUUGUGAGGGUAUUUUAGUCUUUCUUUCUUUCUUUUUUGUUUUGGUUCUUGUUUGGCAAUGAAGAUUGUUAAUGUUUUAUAUGCGUAUAAAAACAGUACAGACUCCCGUCCGUCUUUAUGUUAUACAUCGUUCUUGCACACACUUCGAACUUGUGGGUUUUGAAACAUGGAGUUUCCCGUGUCCGUUUUCCUAUUUCGUCGUAUCGAUGUUUCUGUGUCCGUGCUACAUUGUCUAUAAGCUUAAGCUCGUUCCAUUAUCAAUGAAAUUGCGAAUAAUUGGGAAACAAAAAAUUAAAAUUGUUCCUAAAUUGGAAAAAAAAAAUUCAAACCGAAGUGGGGAGAAAUAAAUUACUAUGACUUCCUCCACUAAUACAUAUAACUCUAAUUAUGAAAUAAAGAUAUAUACAUACUCAAUCGACAUAACUAAUUCACUCAAAUUUAAUAAAACACAAAACAAUAAAAUAAAAACAUAUAUAAAAAGACAAACAAAAACAAAAAGUGUAGACCAUAUAAAAUAGAUUAAAAUACACAUAAGCAUCACUUAUAGUAAUAGCGUAGAAUAAAAUGGUGGUGGGAGUUGGUGGUGGUUGUGGUGGUGGUGGUGGUGGUGGUGAUUGUUACUUAGUUUGGGAAAUGUAGUAAGACAGACAGCAAAAAAUCCUAAGACAUCAAAUCUAUGUUCCAAACAUGGCAAUACUAAUGAAUUGACCUUACUAUUAAAUAUUAAUUAAUUAAUCACCUCCCCCCCCCCCCAACCCAACCCCGAGAGGAACCCCGAGUGAAUAAAUCCUGACUAUUUUAUUAGAUAUCNNNNNNNNNNNNNNNNNNNNNNNNNNNNNNNNNNNNNNNNNNNNNNNNNNNNNNNNNNNNNNNNNNNNNNNNNNNNNNNNNNNNNNNNNNNNNNNNNNNNUUUCAUAAUUCAUAAUAUUUUGGACUUGUUAGAAGAAGUCUUGUGUAAUUUACACUUGGGUAUUUAUUUUUUUAUGGAUUUUGGAUAUAUAUUUAAAAAAUUAAAAUUUAUAAUAUUGAUAUAUAUAUAUAUAUAUAUAUAUAUAUAUAUAUAUAUAUAUAUAUACUCCGACCGUGACAAUUAACAAUACCUGUUACAUAGUGCCCAUUUUAGCUUUUACGAUGAUAUACAGAUAUCUCUUUGUCUUGAGAUCUUUUAUUUUGAUUUUAUUAGUGAUAUUAGUAUAUUUUUUCUUCAUAUAUAAUAUUAUAUUGUAUAAUUUUUUUUUAUCUGAGUUGAUUAAGUAUUGGCAAUUAAACAAGGUCUAUAAAAAAAUAAAUGAAUUAAUUACUUGUUCGUGUUGUGUUUGAAUGUGUGGUCAUAAUUAAUUAAUUAAUUAAAUGGUAUGGUGCAGAAUGCAGAGAGAACCAAUAAAUGGGAGAUGGGGAAAGGAGUGAGUAAUGGAAGAAGGCUGCUGCUAGGUGGGCCCGGGUCAUCGCCGCCGCGAUGCAAUUACAAAUGCGGCAAAUGCACGCCGUGCAAGGCGGUGCAUGUGGCGGUGCCGCCGCGUGGGAUGAGAGUGACGGCGGAGUACUACCCGGAGGCUUGGAGAUGCGAGUGUGGCAAUCGCUUGUAUAUGCCCUAAUUAAGUUCUAAUUAAUUACCUUUUUCCAUGAACAUGUUAUUUGCAACAUAGAAUAAUGAUUUAAUGGGUAAUUAGAUGGUUUAGUGCAAAGAUGUUAUUAUCUUUAGAUGUGUGGUUGAUCCUCCUAUUGACACUCAAACAUAUCCGUGUGUAGUAGGGGUGAAAAUUGGAACGAAAUUUUCGAUUUCGUCGAUUUCGAUCCAAUUUUUUCGGAUUUUGGAAUAAUAUCUUUCAUUUUGAAAAUCCAAUCCUGAUUUUUUUUUUUUUUUUUUCUGUGUCGAGAUUGGAUUAUAUAUGAGAUUCCCUUUUUCGAGAAAUCCGUUUGUUACACUUUCGGUAACAAUAUUAUUAUACAUUUUUAUAUUUUAGGUGACAAAAAAAUUGGAACUUUCUGAAUUUCGUUGGACCAGAAAAAAAAUAAAAAUAAAAAUAAAAAUAAAAAAGGAAAAAAGUUUAUAGAAGCAAGAAAAUUAAGGGUAAAUUAUGAAAAACCUCUGAACUUAGGCUAAAUUAUAUUACAAAAACGCCUCAACCUAGCCAUAAUUACCAAAAUACCCCUGAUCUUUAUUUCUGUCUUACACCGACCCCCUUACGGUAUGAUUGUUAACGUAAAUCUUUUUUAUUCUAGGAAACAUUCUCCGAAAAAGACCAAUAUAACCCUGCAUAUGUUGACAUAUUUAAUGUAGCCAUUCACAUUGUUUAAAAAAUUGCCUAAAUAUGCUAUAAUGAUUCAUAUUAACAAUGGAAGAAGUCUACUAACAUUGCAAUAUGACAUAUUAAAGAAAAAUAGGUUACUGUAGAAGGUAUAUUAAAACCACUUAUCUUUAAGAUGCUGCUGCUUUUAGGGGUAGAAUCAACAUUUUUGAGGAAAUAUUUUCUAAAAACAAAAAGAUCAGGUGAAAAACCACACUGAACGGGGUCCGUGUACGACGGAAACAAACGUGAGAGCGAUUUUGGUAAUUACGGAUAGGUGGAUGCAUUCUUCGUAAUUUAGUCUAACUUUGGGGAUUUUUGUAAUUUACAUUAAAAAUAAACAAUUGUCAUGAACUAUUGGAGAACAAAUCUUUGCAGAGCUCCCCAUAGAAUCUGCAGACCAAAUCAAUAUACACCGGAGAAUUCAGAUUCUUCCAGCAUUCAAGAAGCUCUUCUGCGUCGACCAAAUCUCUCAUCUUCCCAUCUUCUCCGAUCAUCUCUAUCAGAUACUUCUCGAAACUCUUGCACGCAUCUUCCACGUCAUCAUCAUCUGGUAUCGCCACUACUGCUCGAUCUCUUUUAUGGGGCCCACCCAUCCUUACAUACGCCGGCGUGAGCGGCGACGAGUGCGGCGCCCUGUGGUCGGAAUAACUCGACGUCGUCAGCAUCGCCACUCGGCCCGUCUUCUCCGAUCUCUUCUCCCUCAGCGAGUGCAAGAAAGACUGCAUCUUUGAGAUGCACCCUUCCUGUAAUUUACUCUUGAUUUUGGGUUUCCGGUGGUGGCGGCGGCGGGAAUGAAGGGGCCUGAUGCAGACGGGUCUCCGGAGGCGGAACUUGAAGAGGUGGAGGAUUCUCUUGCAUGGUUUGAAGAGCUUGAAUUUGAAUGAAGAAAUAUGCCUCAGUUUCAUCGGAGAAACACGCACACAAUGUGUUUGAUGAUUUGUCUGAAUGGCUGCAGUUGUCUGCCUUAUUUAAACAAGUGGAAAUAAAUAGUGUGUGGAUUUCACGUCGUCUACUUCCAUUUGCCGAAGUGCUGUACCAUGAACUGUAACUUUUGAGGCCUCUCAAGGAAUAUUUUAAUAUAAAAAUUAGUCUAAAAGAUUUUAUCCUACUAUUAAAUUAUUUUAUUUAAAUUUAGAUAUUACAAGUAUUAAUUAUUAUUUUGACGACUAAUUCUUUUCGUUUGAAAUUGCACACUACUAAAUUUAUAUAUUAGUAAGUAUUCUUUGGACCAUUUCUUUUCAUUUUGAAAAUUGCACCUACUUUUGAGUUUUGACUAUUGUUAAGUAGGGGGCGAUUGACUAAGAGUUUGUGACCACUUUUUCGCCUGCACAAAUUUGUUAGGUACACAAAUAUAAUGAUACAUAAAAUAGAAAUCGGAAAAUAAAGAAGGGAAAGAGAUGGACAAAAAACAGUAGUUUCAACAUAUGGAAAUGUUAUUACUUUUAAACGGUUCAAUUCCCUAUUGUCCAAUGUUCGAUCCAGAAAUUCUAAUGGAUGGCGACUCCACUCGGAAACUAACACCAAGUCACAGCCACACAGACAACCAGUCAAACAGAACAUUCUUACACUCAGUUAACUUUAGUUUUCUCUCCAUCAUAGACUCAAUCAGUAACAUAAUGGGAUUGAAAGAAGAAAACCUAAGGAUGCGUAGAGAUAAUUAGGUAUUACAUUUGUCCCUCUCUCUUAUAAGGGCAGUAUAAAUAGGCACAAAACCAAUGGUAAGCGGCAACAAAGUUGCUCCUAAGUUAAAGUCGGCCAUGUAAGGCAAAGACUUUGUAAAGAAUUACCGAAAAAUGAUAACCUAAUGACAAAGGUACUGUUCAGAAAGAGAGGGAGAAAAGAUAAGAGAGAAGCGGCACAUUCAAACUGAGACCAUGGUUGAGAGGAGACAGCAAAGUCCAAGUGAAUGGACGUUUACAAUUAAACAAAAUAAUCUGAACGGUCAAGAUCAAGAUCAAGAGCAUUGACUAUGAUCAAGAGGGUUGAUUAUGAACGACUAUGAUCAAGAGGGUUGACUAUGAACUGAACACUAAUUGGUUUGGACAUUUCCAAAAAUUGGGCCGCCGAGAUUUAUUUGAGUCUUGUGCCCAAUCCCAAUAUUUUGGUUUUGUAAGAACUUCCCCGCUUUCUUUAUAAAGUUUCUCAGAUCCAGCAGCCGAAUUCUCAAUCAAAUAUAUUUUCCCCAAUCGAAUUUCGUCGAACUUUUCAACUACUCAAUCCCAAACACAUUUUCGUCACACGCCACUUCAUAAAACAUUUGUCCAAUAAAAACAAAAACGAAAAAAUCAGACGCCAUAAGCAGAACUAGUCAAUAUACAAAUUCCCUGUAACAAAGUAAGAUAAUACUUGCCACCAAAAAAAUGGCAUUAGGUGUCCUCUACCCAAAAUGUACUAAAUGAAACCCUACUUUACAGCUAUCCUGUUCCGUAAAACAGUCAUAAAACAACCCGAAAUCAGUCUCCAAAAAAAAAAAAAAACAGUUCAGAGAUUGCAAACUAAGAAAGCCAAUUAUAUACCUACCUAAAAAGCCCUCCUCUCUCUAGUCUGUUAGACUCAUCUAAAACUCGAUAUAAAUCCUUUCUCACUCUUUUUUUUUUUGUACAAUUUUAACCAUAUCCAAAUCCCUUCUUCUACGCAGUCUCAUUGUCUCAACGGGGGAAACUCAUCUUCAUUCUUAAGGUGGACUAUCGGCACUGAAACCCUGAAAAAACCCCAACAAAUGAAUUAUCCAGAGCAUUAAAACAUUAUUAUCUAACAGCAUUAAACGCAUAUAUAUGUUUUUUUUCACACCUUUCUUUUUUAGUACUACUACACUGAGUCGAGGCAAUAACACCCGAAGAAGCUGCAAUAACUUCUUCUGCAAGAUUCCCAAUCGAACCAAAUUCAAUUCUACUCAACUUACGGCUCUUUUGAUCCCCAUUAUUAACCGAACGAGGUGAUUGGCUCAUCGAUUCUUGAGAUCUUCUUCUUGCAGAAGGUACAACUUCAUCGACCCCAUUUUCGGAAUUCUUUGGCUGAGACGGAGCAGUAUAAGCACACGAGCCGUUAACUCGUUUAUGCCUAUGAAAAUGAUUAUGAUGAUUGUGUGGUGGUGCCUUGUUUCUGCUCCAGCCUUGUGUAGGUCUCUCCCUGUUAAAAGCAUUCUGCGUAGAGUAGAUCACAGCUAUAUAUAUUACGCAGAGAUAAAACACGAGACACAAAUACUGAGGAGAAAAAGACUACCCUACCACAUGCGGAAAGUAAGUGCCGGUUCCUUGUGAUGCCCUUUGUGCAAAAUUAGCUAACUGGCCCACGUUUUGCUCGAUUUGAAAUGGGGUUGAACUCAUUUGAGAGAAUUGAACCCGACAGGCUGGCAUCGGUUGAGGAAGAGUAUCAGAUAAUGGUUUUUUGUUCGAAACCCUCGAAGGCAAGAAUGGCGUAUGAUACGCUACGGAUGUAGAUAAAGAAAACCCAUGGCAUAGUUGACCGUAUAAAAGACUCCUAAUAUGGCUCUCGUAAUCACCCCUAAGGUCAGCCAAAGGAUUGAAAGCUUCCGAUUCUCCACCCACGCUUUUCAAGUCCAUCUCCUUAAAAUCAAGGGCAAUAUGGUCUGUGAAAUUUGACUUUGCAUGCGAGUUGUCCAAACACCAUUGAUACGUAUUGUUCGUUUCCCCGUUUUCUUCGCGGUUAUCCAACCAUGUAUCCAAGCAGAACUUCUCAUUUUCAGCAGAUAAUUUGGAAGAGCAGUAAAACGGUUUGUGGCUAUGGUUCCAAGAACUGUUAUUGCUGCUCGAAGCAUAUUCCGGCACGCCAUUAAUUAGACUGGAAUUAGAAGUUGCAAGCUCAGAAUGUCGGUUGCUUUCAUUCUUGAAUUCUAACCCUAAACUGUCGUUAUCGUCACAGACGGAUGAUUUCAAGAUGAUGUCAUCCUCGGAGGACAAUUCAACAGGGGAUGAGGAAUAUGCAGUCGAAGAAUCUUCGUCUCCAAAUUCUAACGUCAACCCUUGAGUGCCACUUCGGUAGUCACUUCCAUGCCUUGCAAUGGUAUCUGCAAAGAACUCACUGAUCUCAUCAGCAAUUUUGUCUUUCGGUUGUUGGAAAACUUUACCAAGCUUGCGGGCCCCGUACUUGAAAGCACUUCGUAUUCGAUAAAAAUUGCCUACAAGGGAGCAAAGGGCCAAUAAGAACACAUGUCAUAAUACAGUAAAUCUGAAAUUCCAAGAUAACUGAAAAAUAGUUUUGUGAACUUUAUUAUUGAGCAAGACUAUUAGUUGACUCAAAUUAUUCAGAGACUACAAUACAGUCGCAGUUUAAUCUGGUAUCACCCACUAAAUAGUAAUUUGACGUAAUAAUUUAGCUCAUUACAGUGCGAGAAAAUCAUUUCAAGAAAGAGGUUAUAACCGAUAGAUGAUAUUAUUAUUACCUCUGUGAACACUGCGUCCUAGAUUGUUAUUUUCCUUCAACGGAUCAAUGAUAUUAAGAUAUUUUGUCUGAAAUGCUUUCGGUUUUCCUUCAACCACUCUUGACGAAACUGAGAACAUCUCCAUGCAGUUCUCCAAAAAUUCUUCACUGAGCAUCAAAUCUUUCCGUUCACUUUCUGGUGUCUUUACUGUAGAUAAAAUGAAUAGGAGCAACCAUUAUUCAAGAACUAAAAUAAUACGGGUGUGGGAAUAUGUGACACAGUUACAAUGUUGUGAAUUAAUUUCAGACCAUUUCCAUAAUUGAAAACACCGUUUCUUACCCACUAUAUCAGGGAGUGAUGAUUUACAAACCGGCCCUUUCAAACUGACGCAAUAGUUCUCCCAGUCAAACUGGCUGUAGUACUCCAAAAAUUUGUAGAGCACCUAUAUAGAAACAACCUUAAAAAAUUUGACUACUCCAUUCAUUUGCAUGUAAAUUCAUAAUUGAACGUCGAAAACCGCAUAAUCACAGUAGUUACCGAUAAUGGGCCACUUAAGGAUGAAUGGAAGAGAUGGAAUAUGUAGAGGAUAAGUGUUUCCAAAGCAUACGUAGAUAUUAAACCAUGGUGUGCACCAAGUACACGACUCUCAUAAUAACACCACGCUUUAACGAGGAUAAUGCUGCGUUUAAAGAGAUGAUUUCUCCCAACGAGGCGAUCAACCUGCAAAGAAGAAGUUCGUAGGAAAUCAAGUGAAAGAAAUUAAGUCAAUCUUCUUCAAAAAUUGUUAUAAAUCAAGGGACUAUAUACCAAAAUAUGAAUGGCAUAAACACCAAAAUUGGCAUGCGUGUAUGUAUUUCAAGAAUAUAAAAAAUGAUUGCUACCUGCUCUAAGAAACAAAGUGUAGAAAGUCCACCUAAUUGAUUGAAUGAUAUAUCUAUCACAAUGUUUUGCACGAGACAUUUCACGAGUUUAACCUGCCAUCAGAAGAACAGACGUAAUCAGAUAAAAAUAAACCAAACAAGAUGUUUAUAAAUAUAUAUCGAGAAGCAAACAAAGUCGAUCACCAAACCAACCAACAUUAUUAAAUCACUAGAAAUAGUAUUCUGAACAAGUGACUCCUUCAAAAAGAACCGCAAACCCAAUUUCCACAUAAGAGUAUAAUCAGCAUUCCGAAAUCUUAAUAUUCCCCAAAACAGGUUGAAAAUAAGAGACAAUGCAUAAUCCCAAAGUCACUUUUAUGUUCAACAUAAGAAGGUAUUCCCAUUAAUAAAAACAUAAAAAGCAAGAAACAAUAUGCAGGUUUGAAAGUCGAAAAUAUCAGCUACAUAAUAAAUAAAAAGAGCUGCUACGAAGAAUUUCGAAAUAUUACCUCAGCAUCAAUAAAUUGAGGAUCCUUAACUUGGAACUCAGCAUUUUCAUUUUUCUCUUCUCUUUGUAGAAGAGCAAAAACUUCAUGAGCCAAGACUUCCUCACCUUCAAGACCUUUAACGGCAGUCAAAUCAAUAUCUCCAUCAGGUAAGUAUGUCUUGAGAGGCACUGACCCAUACGGGAAAACCUGCGAGACGUAAACACCAAAUUAACCCUUUAAACAACCAAAUACCUUAACGAAUACUAGAAUAUCUUUUUCGUCUGGACUGCACAUCUACCAUGCGGUUUUCUUGAUCAACAUUCAUCGCAGAGUGAGAAUGAACUAAGAAACAUCGUUUUAGAGCUACAAGAAGAUUCAAUCAAUACAUAGCACGAUAUAUGAAUUAUCUAUUUGGAGAUGAUCCCAAGCGAAAAAAACACAAUCGAAGAUUUUAUAAACAUGUAAAAGGAAAUAAAAUAUAAUGACAUCAGCUACACGUAUUCAGUGAUCAGUUAAAAAGUUUUCAAUCAGCUACCAUUACACAGUGAAUCAGAUCAACAAAACCCGCACAUACGACCUCGACACAAUACAUGAAUUAACAAUAAUCAAACCCCAAAACAAUCUUUGGAUCGACAUACAAAUGCAUCGGCAUUGCAGCAAAAGAUCAGAACCUAUUUUAUUCUCAAUGAAUAUAAUAACACCACCUUUUCCCACAAAUCGAAAACAAUCAAUUAAUAAUUAAACCUGCAAAAAAGGCCUAAAAGCAAGAUUUAAAAAAAAAAUUAUAAAAUUAUAAAAAAAGCUCAACUCAUAGAAACAGGGCCACCUUCAGAUUCCGACAUAAAGAAGACUUUUUCUGUAAACCAAAAGUCAUAGAUGAAUUGACUUCAGAAUUACCUCACAAUUAAUCUGACUUUUGAUUAGCCGCUGAACAUAAUCAAUGACGUCUCUCCUCUUCUCCUCCGAGUCAAGUGUAGGGUGCACACAAUUCACCACUUGCUGCGCCGCCGCCUCCGCCGCCGCCGACAAACACUCCUCGCUCAACGGCGCCGGAUCAGUCACUGUACAUGACUUCCACCCCAAAUCCACCUCUGAAAUCUCCACCCCAAGCUCACCCAUCCUAAUUUUUUUAGCCCUUUCUAUUCGCAAAAAAUUAAAAAAAAAAAAAUCAAAAAAAAAAUCAAACAGUAACGGAAGAAGAAUCCCCAAGGGCUUUCACCACCAUCUUCUUCAUUACUGAUUGUUUCUCGUUUUGUUUUUUGCUGUUACAUAAAAAAAGGAGAGAGAAUUCUACAAGGCAAAAUUGAAAAAGGGGGGUUUUAAAUUUGGGGUUUCGGUUCCAUUGAUCCCCCACUGUAUUUGUGUAUAUACAUACAUGUAUACAUACACACACAAUUAAAAAGUCGGAAAAUCGGAAAAACAAAAAAAGGAGAAAUUCUGAGAAGACGACAAAAUUGCAAUAACAAUUGCGUUUUGUUUGUUUGC
rnacentral:lncRNA from 1 species